GACAGUGCAAGGGAGGAUAUUACACUUACCUUCCUAACAUCUCUUGCUUUCGGUGAGGGCUGCGUCACCAUGUUUGUGAGGUCUUUAUGUAUUUCUAUCGCAACGCUCCACCUCCUCCUCCCAUGUGGCGCGGCGCAGGGGACGGGCGAGCAGUGCGAACGCGUCGACGGGACGAUCGGAACCUGUAUGGAGUUCAGCCGCUGCUUGCAAUCAGACGGAAACGCGCAGAGUGUCGUCAACCUGAGAUCUUGCGCGACUACCUGGGGAGACAUUAGGCAGACACCCGUGUGUUGCAGAAGCAAUCCUAGGAAUCUGGCAAGAGCGAG
rnacentral:misc_RNA from 1 species